UGGAGGACCGAACCGACUUACGUUGAAAAGUGAGCGGAUGAACUGAGGGUAGCGGAGAAAUUCCAAUCGAACCUGGAGAUAGCUGGUUCUCUCCGAAAUAGCUUUAGGGCUAGCCUCAAGUGAUGAUUAUUGGAGGUAGAGCACUGUUUGGACGAGGGGCCCCUCUCGGGUUACCGAAUUCAGACAAACUCCGAAUGCCAAUUAAUUUAACUUGGGAGUCAGAACAUGGGUGAUAAGGUCCGUGUUCGAAAGGGAAACAGCCCAGACCACCAGCUAAGGUCCCAAAAUAUAUGUUAAGUGGAAAAGGAUGUGGCGUUGCCCAGACAACUAGGAUGUUGGCUUAGAAGCAGCCAUCAUUUAAAGAGUGCGUAAUAGCUCACUAGUCGAGUGACACUGCGCCGAAAAUGUACCGGGGCUAAACAUAUUACCGAAGCUGUGGAUUGUCCUUUGGACAAUGGUAGGAGAGCGUUCUAAGGGCGUUGAAGCAUGAUCGCAAGGACAUGUGGAGCGCUUAGAAGUGAGGAUGCCGGUGUGAGUAGCGAAAGACGGGUGAGAAUCCCGUCCACCGAUUGACUAAGGUUUCCAGAGGAAGGCUCGUCCGCUCUGGGUUAGUCGGGUCCUAAGCUGAGGCCGACAGGCGUAGGCGAUGGAUAACAGGUUGAUAUUCCUGUACCACCUAUAAUCGUUUUAAUCGAUGGGGGGACGCAGUAGGAUAGGCGAAGCGUGCGAUUGGAUUGCACGUCUAAGCAGUAAGGCUGAGUAUUAGGCAAAUCCGGUACUCGUUAAGGCUGAGCUGUGAUGGGGAGAAGACAUUGUGUCUUCGAGUCGUUGAUUUCACACUGCCGAGAAAAGCCUCUAGAUAGAAAAUAGGUGCCCGUACCGCAAACCGACACAGGUAGUCAAGAUGAGAAUUCUAAGGUGAGCGAGCGAACUCUCGUUAAGGAACUCGGCAAAAUGACCCCGUAACUUCGGGAGAAGGGGUGCUCUUUAGGGUUAACGCCCAGAAGAGCCGCAGUGAAUAGGCCCAAGCGACUGUUUAUCAAAAACACAGGUCUCUGCUAAACCGUAAGGUGAUGUAUAGGGGCUGACGCCUGCCCGGUGCUGGAAGGUUAAGAGGAGUGGUUAGCUUCUGCGAAGCUACGAAUCGAAGCCCCAGUAAACGGCGGCCGUAACUAUAACGGUCCUAAGGUAGCGAAAUUCCUUGUCGGGUAAGUUCCGACCCGCACGAAAGGCGUAACGAUUUGGGCACUGUCUCAACGAGAGACUCGGUGAAAUCAUAGUACCUGUGAAGAUGCAGGUUACCCGCGACAGGACGGAAAGACCCCGUGGAGCUUUACUGUAGCCUGAUAUUGAAAUUCGGCACAGCUUGUACAGGAUAGGUAGGAGCCUUUGAAACGUGAGCGCUAGCUUACGUGGAGGCGCUGGUGGGAUACUACCCUAGCUGUGUUGGCUUUCUAACCCGCACCACUUAUCGUGGUGGGAGACAGUGUCAGGCGGGCAGUUUGACUGGGGCGGUCGCCUCCUAAAAGGUAACGGAGGCGCUCAAAGGUUUCCUCAGAAUGGUUGGAAAUCAUUCAUAGAGUGUAAAGGCAUAAGGGAGCUUGACUGCGAGACCUACAAGUCGAGCAGGGUCGAAAGACGGACUUAGUGAUCCGGUGGUUCCGCAUGGAAGGGCCAUCGCUCAACGGAUAAAAGCUACCCCGGGGAUAACAGGCUUAUCUCCCCCAAGAGUUCACAUCGACGGGGAGGUUUGGCACCUCGAUGUCGGCUCAUCGCAUCCUGGGGCUGUAGUCGGUCCCAAGGGUUGGGCUGUUCGCCCAUUAAAGCGGUACGCGAGCUGGGUUCAGAACGUCGUGAGACAGUUCGGUCCCUAUCCGUCGUGGGCGUAGGAAAUUUGAGAGGAGCUGUCCUUAGUACGAGAGGACCGGGAUGGACAUACCUCUGGUGUACCAGUUGUCGUGCCAACGGCAUAGCUGGGUAGCUAUGUGUGGACGGGAUAAGUGCUGAAAGCAUCUAAGCAUGAAGCCCCCCUCAAGAUGAGAUUUCCCAACUUCGGUUAUAAGAUCCCUCAAAGAUGAUGAGGUUAAUAGGUUCGAGGUGGAAGCAUGGUGACAUGUGGAGCUGACGAAUACUAAUCGAUCGAAGACUUAAUCAAAUU
rnacentral:rRNA from 1 species